GGCAACGUGGCGGAGUGGACGAUCGCGCGGCGCUCGAAACGCCGUAUCUUCGGAUUCGCAGGUUCGAAUCCUGCCGUUGUCG
rnacentral:tRNA from 1 species